rnacentral:rRNA from 1 species
GCCAGCCGCCGCGGUAAUACCGGCGGCUCGAGUGGUGGCCACUAUUACUGGGCUUAAAGCGUUCGUAGCUUGGUUGUUAAGUCUCCUGGGAAAUCUAUCGGCUUAACCGAUAGGCGUCCAGGGGAUACUGGCAAUCUAGGGACCGGGAGAGGUGAGGGGUACUUCAGGGGUAGGAGUGAAA